rnacentral:rRNA from 1 species
UACCAGCACCCCCGAGUGGUCGGGACGAUUAUUGGGCCGUAAAGACAUCCGUAGCCGGUACUGCAAGUCUUCCGUUAAAUCCACCUGCUUAACAGUUGGGCUGCGGGGGAUGCUACAGCGCUAGGAGGCGGGAGAGGCAAGCGGUACUCAAUGGGUAGGGGUAAAAUCCGCUGAUCCAUUGAAGACCACCAGUGGCGAAGGCGGUUUGCCAGAACGCGCUCGACGGUGA